rnacentral:rRNA from 1 species
GAUGAACGCUGGCGGCGUGCUUAACACAUGCAAGUCGAACGGAAAGACCCUGAUUUUGUGGGGUGGUCGAGUGGGGAAGGGGGGAGUAACACGCGAGUAAACUGCCCUUGACUUUGGGAUAACUUCUGGAAACUGGGGCUAAUAUCGGAGAGGAGAUCCUGAUGCGUGGUGGGGGAUGGAAAGUUUCGGCGGUUGGGGAUGGAAUCGCGGCUUAUGCGCUUGUUGGUGGGGUAGGUGCUUACCAAGGCUUCGACGGGUAGGCGGCCUGGGAGGGUGAACGGCCACCUUGGGACUGAGAUACGGCCCAGACUCCUACGGGAGGCAGCAGUGGGGAAUAUUGCACAAUGGGCGGAAGCCUGAUGCAGCAACGCCGCGUGCGUGAUGACCGCCUUCUGGUUGUAAACCGCUUUCGCCUGUGACGAAGAGUGAGUGACGGUAAUGGGUAAAGAAGCACCGGCUAACUACGUG